GCAGGGGAUCGCAAGACCUUGCGCUGAUUGAGCGGCCGAUAUCAGAUUAGCUAGUUGGUGGGGUAAAAGCUCACCAAGGCGAUGAUCGGUAGGGGGUGUGAGAGCAUGACCCCCCACACGGGUACUGAGACACGGACCCGACUCCUACGGGGGGCAGCAGUAAGGAGUAUUGGACAAUGGGGGCAACCCUGAUCCAGCCAUGCCGCGUGAGUGAAGAAGGCCUUCGGGUUGUAAAGCUCUUUCAGCCGGGAAGAAAAUGCAUGGGUUAAUACCCUGUGCAGAUGACGGUACCGGAAUAAGAAGCACCGGCUAACUACGUGCCAGCAGCCGCGGUAAUACGUAGGGUGCGAGCGUUAAUCGGAAUUACUGGGCGUAAAGCGUGCGCAGGCGGUUUUGUAAGACAGGCGUGAAAUCCCCGGGCUUAACCUGGGAACUGCGUUUGUGACUGCAAGGCUAGAGUACGGCAGAGGGGGGUGGAAUUCCACGUGUAGCAGUGAAAUGCGUAGAGAUGUGGAGGAACACCAAUGGCGAAGGCAGCCCCCUGGGUCGAUACUGACGCUCAUGCACGAAAGCGUGGGUAGCAAACAGGAUUAGAUACCCUGGUAGUCCACGCCCUAAACGAUGUCAACUAGGUGUUGGGAGGGUAAAACCUUUUAGUACCGUAGCUAACGCGAGAAGUUGACCGCCUGGGGAGUACGGCCGCAAGGUUAAAACUCAAAGGAAUUGACGGGGACCCGCACAAGCGGUGGAUGAUGUGGAUUAAUUCGAUGCAACGCGAAAAACCUUACCUACCCUUGACAUGUCAGGAACUUUCCAGAGAUGGAUUGGUGCUCGAAAGAGAACCUGAACACAGGUGCUGCAUGGCUGUCGUCAGCUCGUGUCGUGAGAUGUUGGGUUAAGUCCCGCAACGAGCGCAACCCUUGUCGUUAAUUGCCAUCAUUCAGUUGGGCACUUUAACGAGACUGCCGGUGACAAACCGGAGGAAGGUGGGGAUGACGUCAAGUCCUCAUGGCCCUUAUGGGUAGGGCUUCACACGUCAUACAAUGGUCGGUACAAAUGGUCGCCAACCCGCGAGGGGGAGCCAAUCCCAUAAAGCCGAUCGUAGUCCGGAUUGUAGGCUGCAACUCGCCUGCAUGAAGUCGGAAUCGCUAGUAAUCGUGGAUCAGCAUGUCACGGUGAAUACGUUCCCGGGUCUUGUACACACCGCCCGUCACACCAUGGGAGCGGGUUCCGCCAGAAGUAGGUAGCCUAACCGCAAGGGGGGCGCUUGCCACGGCGGGGUUCGUGACUGGGGUGAAGUC
rnacentral:rRNA from 1 species